rnacentral:rRNA from 1 species
GGAUGAACGCUGGCGGCGUGCCUAAUACAUGCAAGUCGAGCGAACAGAUAAGGAGCUUGCUCCUUUGACGUUAGCGGCGGACGGGUGAGUAACACGUGGGUAACCUACCUAUAAGACUGGAAUAACUCCGGGAAACCGGGGCUAAUGCCGGAUAAUAUUUAGAACCGCAUGGUUCUAAAGUGAAAGAUGGUUUUGCUAUCACUUAUAGAUGGACCCGCGCCGUAUUAGCUAGUUGGUGGGGUAAUGGCUUACCAGGGCAACGAUACGUAGCCGACCUGAGAGGGUGAUCGGCCACACUGGAACUGAGACACGGUCCAGACUCCUACGGGAGGCAGCAGUAGGGAAUCUUCCGCAAUGGGCGAAAGCCUGACGGAGCAACGCCGCGUGAGUGAUGAAGGUCUUCGGAUCGUAAAACUCUGUUAUUAGGGAAGAACAAAUGUGUAAGUAACUGUGCACGUCUUGACGGUACCUAAUCAGAAAGCCACGGCUAACUACGUGCCAGCAGCCGCGG